GUUCAGUGGUAGAAUUCUUGCCUUCCAUGCAGGAGAACCAGGUUUGAUUCCUGG
rnacentral:tRNA from 1 species